GCGGCGUAUUUCACAGAGGCGGAGUUGAAAGUUUUAAUGCAUGCUUAUGAGGAGUUUAAGCCAAUAAUAUUAAAAAGAAGCAAUACAGCUGCAUCGGCUAAAGCAAGAGAGUUGGCUUGGCAAAAAAUAACGGACAGAGUAAAUGCGUGUAAUCCUUCUGGAGCCACAAGAACUUUAAGCCAAGUCAAAAUGAAACACAAAAACAUUCUGCAAAAAGCUAACAGAAAGAAGACUGAAGCCCGUCUAACUGGCGGGGGGCCACCACCACCUCCCCUCACCCCAUCUGAGGAGCUGGCUCUGUCC